rnacentral:rRNA from 1 species
CCACCUUUGACAUGUAUGGAAGUUUCCAGAGAUGGAUUCGUGCUCGAAAGAGAGCCAUAACACAGGUGCUGCAUGGCUGUCGUCAGCUCGUGUCGUGAGAUGUUGGGUUAAGUCCCGCAACGAGCGCAACCCUUGUCAUUAGUUGCUACAUUCAGUUGGGCACUCUAAUGAGACUGCCGGUGACAAACCGGAGGAAGGUGGGGAUGACGUCAAGUCCUCAUGGCCCUUAUAGGUGGGGCUACACACGUCAUACAAUGGCCGGUACAAAGGGUCGUAAACCCGCGAGGGGGAGCCAAUCCAUCAAAGCCGGUCGUAGUCCGGAUCGCAGUCUGCAACUCGACUGCGUGAAGUCGGAAUCGCUAGUAAUCGUGGAUCAGCAUGUCACGGUGAAUACGUUCCC